rnacentral:lncRNA from 1 species
CCUGGAAGAGUCCUGAUCGGCCUUAUAUGACAUUAGAUCUAAGAUGGCUCCCAGAACACCAGAGACACAGCAAAAGGAAUGGAGAGCAGAAGCGCAGAUCGGUGUCCACAAAAGGCUCUUCCUCAGGACCAGUGCGAAGUGCUUGGGAAAGGGUCAGCCAAUGUGAUAGUACUCCUUAAAAAACCUGAGAAAAUGGACAGCAUUGUUGGGAGCUUGUGAGCUCCUGUCACAGUACCGAGCUUGAACAAUGUCGAUUAAAGCCCCAUGCUUGAGACUGUCAUUAGACCCGCAUUAAAUUACAUAUCUGGAGUGUUAAAACAUAAAGAGUACAGUGGCUUUUUCGCAGCUACCUAAGGUAGGUAGUUAAGGCCCUGAUUAUCUUUAAAGGUCUAUUUUUCCCCUCCACUGAAAGC